AAAAGUUCAAAAUGUAGUUACCAACCUUAAAGAAUUUGAGUCCAUUGAGCACGAACUAUUACAUCCUAGAUUCUUAUGCAGUGUGGUCGGUGGCCAUCAAUAUUUGGAGGUUGGUAGCGUACGAAGAACGACAACCCUUCAGAAAGUCCCUCAAAAGGCAUUCUUUACAGUCUACAAUGCCCCACUCCAAACUCAGAGCGAGCUAUAGAAAUGAGCAAUGCAAUAUUUCUUUUGUGUAUCAUAGCAAGCAGUGGCAUGAAGUUGAAGUACUUGCAGACAUCUGAGCGGAGAGACAAGUUUUGAAUGAAGAGACGAUUUCAUUUACG
rnacentral:misc_RNA from 1 species